rnacentral:rRNA from 1 species
GUAGGGAAUCUUGCGCAAUGGGCGAAAGCCUGACGCAGCCAUGCCGCGUGAAUGAUGAAGGUCUUAGGAUUGUAAAAUUCUUUCACCGGGGACGAUAAUGACGGUACCCGGAGAAGAAGCCCCGGCUAACUUCGUGCCAGCAGCCGCGGUAAUACGAAGGGGGCUAGCGUUGCUCGGAAUUACAGGGCGUAAAGGGAGCGUAGGCGGAUAGUUUAGUCAGAGGUGAAAGCCCAGGGCUCAACCUUGGAAUUGCCUUUGAUACUGGCUAUCUUGAGUAUGGAAGAGGUAUGUGGAACUCCGAGUGUAGAGGUGAAAUUCGUAGAUAUUCGGAAGAACACCAGUGGCGAAGGCGACAUACUGGUCCAUUACUGACGCUGAGGCUCGAAAGCGUGGGGAGCAAACAGGAUUAGAAACCCCGGUAGUCC